CACCGCGGUUAUACGAGAGACCCAAGUUGACAGACAAUCGGCGUAAAGAGUGGUUAAGUACCAUACAUUACUAAAGCCAAACACCUUCAAAGCUGUUAUACGCACCCGAAGGUCAGAAGCCCAAUCACGAAAGUGGCUUUAAACCAACUGAACCCACGAAAGCUAGGGUA
rnacentral:rRNA from 1 species